AGAGUUUGAUCCUGGCUCAGAACGAACGCUGGCGGCAGGCUUAACACAUGCAAGUCGAGCGCCCCGCAAGGGGAGCGGCAGACGGGUGAGUAACGCGUGGGAAUCUACCCAUCUCUACGGAACAACUCCGGGAAACUGGAGCUAAUACCGUAUACGUCCUUUUGGAGAAAGAUUUAUCGGAGAUGGAUGAGCCCGCGUUGGAUUAGCUAGUUGGUGGGGUAAUGGCCUACCAAGGCGACGAUCCAUAGCUGGUCUGAGAGGAUGAUCAGCCACAUUGGGACUGAGACACGGCCCAAACUCCUACGGGAGGCAGCAGUGGGGAAUAUUGGACAAUGGGCGCAAGCCUGAUCCAGCCAUGCCGCGUGAGUGAUGAAGGCCCUAGGGUUGUAAAGCUCUUUCAACGGUGAAGAUAAUGACGGUAACCGUAGAAGAAGCCCCGGCUAACUUCGUGCCAGCAGCCGCGGUAAUACGAAGGGGGCUAGCGUUGUUCGGAAUUACUGGGCGUAAAGCGCACGUAGGCGGAUAUUUAAGUCAGGGGUGAAAUCCCGGGGCUCAACCCCGGAACUGCCUUUGAUACUGGGUAUCUCGAGUCCGAGAGAGGUGAGUGGAAUUCCGAGUGUAGAGGUGAAAUUCGUAGAUAUUCGGAGGAACACCAGUGGCGAAGGCGGCUCACUGGCUCGGUACUGACGCUGAGGUGCGAAAGCGUGGGGAGCAAACAGGAUUAGAUACCCCCGUAGUCC
rnacentral:rRNA from 1 species